rnacentral:rRNA from 1 species
AGUGAACGCUGGCGGCAGGCCUAACACAUGCAAGUCGAGCGGCAGCGCGGGGGCAACCCUGGCGGCGAGCGGCGGACGGGUGAGGAAUUCGUCGGAAUCUGCCUUUUUGUGGGGGAUAACGUUGGGAAACUUACGCUAAUACCGCAUACGUCCUACGGGAGAAAGUGGGGGACCGCAAGGCCUCACGCAGAAAGAUGAGCCGACGACCGAUUAGCUAGUUGUAGGGGUAAAGGCCCACCAAGGCGACGAUCGGUAGCUGGUCUGAGAGGAUGAUCAGCCACACUGGGACAGAGACACAGCCCAGACUCCUACGGGAGGCGGCAGUGGGGAAUCUUGGACAAAGGGCGCAAGCCUGAUCCAGCCAUGCCGCGUGUGUGAAGAAGGCCUUCGGGUUGUAAAGCACUUUUGUCCGGAAAGAAAUCCCUGGAGCUAAUACCGUCGGGGGAUGACGGUACCGGAAGAAUGAGCACCGGCUAAGUUCGUG